rnacentral:rRNA from 1 species
GGGUGAACGCUGGCGACGUGGAUUAGGCAUGCAAGUCGAAUGGGUUUAGACCCAUGGCGAACGAGGUAGUAACACGUAGGUACGCACCUUCAAGUCGGGCAUAAUCGGUCGAAAGAUCGGAUAAUUCUCGAUAGUCCCUUCGGGGUAAAGAUUUAUCGCUUGAAGAGCGGCCUGCGGGCUAUCAGCUAGUUGGUAGGGUAACGGCCUACCAAGGCGAUGACGGCUAGGGGAGCUGAGAGGCUGACCCCCACCGAUGGAACUGAGACACGGUCCAUACACCUACGGGUGGCUGCAGUCGAGGAUCUUCCGCAAUGGGCGAAAGCCUGACGGAGCGACGUCGCGUGAUUGAUGAAGUCCUUCGGGACGUAAAGAUCUUUUAUGAGGGAAGAAGUCAUUGACGGUACCUCAUGAAUAAGGGGCUCCUAACUCUGUGCCAGCAGGAGCGGUAAUACAGAGGCCCCGAGCGUUACCCGGAUUUACUGGGCAUAAAGGGUGCGUAGGCGGUUGUGUUAGUCUCCCGUUAAAUCAUCAGGCUCAACCUGAUACUCGCGGGGGAAACGGCACGACUCGAGGGUGCGAGAGGUGAAUGGAACUCAUGGUGUAGGGGUGAAAUCCGUUGAUAUCAUGGGGAACACCAAAAGCGAAGGCAAUUCACUGGCGCACAUCUGACGCUGAGGCACGAAAGCGUGGGUAUCGAACGGGAUUAGAUACCCCGGUAGUCCACGCCCUAAACGUUGUUACCUGGCUUUUCGGAGUAUCGACCCUCUGAGAGGCGAAGCAAAUGCGUUAAGGUAACCGCCUGGGUAGUACGGCCGCAAGGCUAAAACUCAAAGGAAUAGACGGGGGCUCGCACAAGCGGUGGAUCAUGUGGCUUAAUUCGUCGCUAAGCGAAAAACCUUACCAAGGCUAGAAACCCUACUGAACUCACUCCGAAAGGAGUGGGGCCUUCGGGCAGUAGGGCAGGUGAUGCAUGGUCGUCGUCAGUUCGUGGCUUGAGUUGUUCCCUUAAGUGGGGAAACGAACGCAACCCUCGUUGCCUGUUAUAAGUGUCAGGCGAGACUGCUCCCUUACGGGAGAGGAAGGUGAGGAUGACGCCAGAUCAGCAUGUCCCUUGAUGCCUUGGGCUGCACACGUGAUACAAUGGACGCUACAACAGGAUGCGACGGGGUAACCCUGAGCAAAUCCUUAUAAAAGCGUCCCCAGUACGGAUUGAGGUCUGCAACCCGACCUCAUGAAGCCGGAAUCGCUAGUAAUCGCAGGUCAGCACACUGCGGUGAAUACGUUCCCGAGCC